rnacentral:rRNA from 1 species
AGGAUUCCCCUAGUAACGGCGAGUGAAGAGGGAAAAGCCCAGCACCGAAGCCUGCGGCAGGUUUGCUGUUAGGCAAUGUGGUGUUUAGGCCGGCUCGUGGGACCACCACUCCACUCGAAGUCCAGCAUUGGGUAUGGUUACUGGAUUUGGCCCAGAGAGGGUGAAAGGCCCGUACGGGUGGAGUGUCAGACAUGUGAGGUGGUUCACCAGGUCGACCUUAGAGUCGGGUUGUUUGGGAAUGCAGCCCAAAGUGGGUGGUAAACUCCAUCCAAGGCUAAAUACUAGCACGAGUCCGAUAGCGAACAAGUACCGUGAGGGACAGUUGAAAAGUACUCUGAAGAGAGAGUAAACAGUACGUGAAACCGCAUGCAGGUAAACGGGUGGCGUCAAGCUGCAAGCCCAGAGAAUUCAGUCGGCUAGGGUGUUGUGUAUGCGCCUGGCGCAUCCAUCAGUCAGAGUAUGAUUGGAUAGUCCACCAGUAGAUGGUGGGCCUGGCCGCAAGGUCAGGAUAUGUGUACCGGGUGGGUGCCGGAGCAUGCUAUCCGUCUGGGGACUGUCUAGCCGGUGCACUUUCUCUGUGGUCAACACCACGACCGGUGGUAUUGCCAGUCUGCUGUGUCCAAGUCGUGCUUGGUAGGUCCUCGUGGCCAACCGGGUGCGAUCACAGGCAAAUUCAGUAAACGGCGUGAGGGUGUCUCGGCACUCUUGCGUGCUAUCGGCUACUGGUUGUCAACGGGCCUGCUCUGUGUUUGUUGUAACCGACACUCGGAGUGGUCCGGUGGGGCAUGGUGGUAAGAAUAACUGUGCAAGGCACCGGGGUUAUCGGCCUCAAAUGCAUCCCGCGUCCACGUUACAAGUGGCAGUAGUGCUCGCCGCCGCUGCCUGCUCGGUGCUGGGUUUGAUUGGCGUGUUGCCUGCACAAAGUAGGCCCGCCAAUAGCUCGGUCCGGGAUGGGUGGUUGGUGGUGUGCUGCCUCGUGGGGUGUGGUGGGCCCAACAGUCUGUGG